rnacentral:rRNA from 1 species
UACGUAGGUGACAAGCGUUGUCCGGAUUUACUGGGCGUAAAGAGCGCGCAGGCGGUCGAUCAAGUCGAGUGUGAAAGCCCCCGGCUCAACUGGGGAGGGUCACGCGAUACUGAUCGACUCGAAGGCAGGAGAGGGUAGUGGAAUUCCCGGUGUAGUGGUGGAAUGCGUAGAUAUCGGGAGGAACACCAGUGGCGAAGGCGGUUGCCUGGAGCUUUGCUGACGCUGAUGCGCGAAAGCGUGGGGAGCGAG